rnacentral:rRNA from 1 species
UACGGAGGAUCCAAGCGUUAUCCGGAAUCAUUGGGCUUAAAGGGUCCGUAGGCGGUUUGGUAAGUCAGUGGUGAAAGCCCAUCGCUCAACGGUGGAACGGCCAUUGAUACUGCCAGACUUGAAUUAUUAGGAAGUAACUAGAAUAUGUAGUGUAGCGGUGAAAUGCUUAGAGAUUACAUGGAAUACCAAUUGCGAAGGCAGGUUACUACUAAUGGAUUGACGCUGAUGGACGAAAGCGUGGGUAGCGAACAGG